CUGAAACCACACUAUACGCGGCAACGGCCGCUUGUCGCCGCGCCGCGUCCCCACAGUCGGCUGUUUGUGGGCGUGUCACCUAUUUUUGACAGACAGUUGUGUUCGUUAAAUGUUGACCGGGUUUAAUAUCGUGUUUCAUAUUCAUUGUCCUGUCGGAAUAAAAAUCAUUUUGCAGUAACCUAGAUCUGAAAGAUGUUAGUCAGCUGCCUAGCUAGGCUGUUUAAUGUCUACAACCAACAACAAAAACAUUGUCUGACGAAUUAGCCAGAUAAUUCCUUCAAAGUUGUAUCUGAUUAGCUAGCUAGGUGGCUGGUAGAAACGAACAACUAGCAACUAAUACAUUAGGAAGAUUUUUUUUGUUUGUUAUUGUUUGUUGUUACUCACUAUAGCUACACAUUAGUUAGCCUAGCUAGGCAGCUUAUUAACAUUUUCAGAGCUAGAUUACUGCAAAAAUGAUUUUUAUUCAGACUGGACAGUGAUAGUAGCUAACGGCGAUAACUACAUUGCAGAGCCACCGACAAUUUCAGAGACUUUUCUCCACGCUAUUUCCUCUUAUCAGUGUCUCUGUAGGAGAUUUUAUUAAGUCGGGAAACCCAAUGUGGAAAUUACGAGUUAGGUCCUCCAUUGUGGAACGAUAGAAUGUGGAACUAAAAUUAGAAAAAAAUAGGGACAAUUUACUUGACGGAUCAUUAUAUCACAUCAGAUUGGUUACCGCGACGCGGCGAGGGGGUCAAAGUUGAAUUUUUGCCAUCUCCACUGCGGCCUCCCCGCUCCCGCCGCGCCGCCGGCAAUCCCAAAAUGCCUUGCGGGGGCUGGCCGCCACCCCUCAUUCAAAAUGAAUGGAGGCCGCUCCGUAAAACAGUUUCGUGAAAUUGAGUUGAAUGCACGUUUUGGAAUUGAUAAUCGGUUUUCGCCAUCGUCAUUGAAUGAAGUCGCGGUACGGGAUGGGAAGGUGCGGACGUUUUGGUGUAAAUUCCAGUUUUUCUUAUUUUCUUCUCGACGAAGUGUUUUCUCUACUGUUUCGGUUUAGCUAACCUGCAGCUAGCCACACGAAUAGGACAGCACGCGGCUGGACGAGUGUGUUUGUGUCGGACCUGCAUUCGGAUCGCCAGUGACUUGUUUUCCUGUGUGUCAUACGUUCUGCACUCGCUGGCCAGCUGGAGCGGGCGGAUAAAGAGAUAUCCGCGGCGGAUCUCUGACGGGUGGGGGACGGGCCGCGCCUCGCGCACCGCUCGGCCCACGGCGCUUAUCUGCAGACAAGCAUCGGGACCCGGGAGCGAAUCGGUGACCCCUAUUUGUGCAGGUUAAUGCGCGGGCACCUCGACAAGCACGGCGGCGCCAUUACCCAGCUUCCUCUGACGCACCCAACCCCCCCUUGUAAAUCUCGCACUCGCCACAUUAUGAUUCUAUUCUCAUUACCUCGGCGGCGCUCGCCAAAUUGCCUUGUCUCUCAGGAUCAUCGGACGCCGGGUUCUUUUCCUGCACCUGCGACCCAGUAGUUUAACGCAACUCUCCCUCCACCGCCACUUACUCUGCGGCCUCCUCGACGAAGAAUCGGUACAAACGCACGCCACAGACAGACGUGGCCGAGCCGAUCGGGCAUCCGAAAAUUAAGAACAAAAAGAAAGAAAAAGGAAAAAAAAAAACAGAUGGGCAGAAGCUCUUACGUCUAACGCUUCCACAAACGGAGAUGCCAGCUUCAAUUCUUGGCGACGUGUUUCUUCCCCCCAUUUACAUUUAAAUGAAUUGGCACUGCGUAUAUAUGUAUACAGCAGCCAGGUACGCUUGGGCUGUUCCAAAAUGAAUUUGAAAGUUCCUAAAAAGAAAAUAAAUAUUGCAAUCCUUGCGAAGUCCAGUCCAUCUGAUACCAGUGAAGAGAACAAAUUAAUUUACUGCUUUUUUUACUAUCACAUCUGAGGAUGCCUGUCAGGGUAGCAUUUAUCUGGUUUGUUGUAUAGUCUUUCAUUCAUUCAUUCAUUCAUUCAUUCACUCACUAAUUUAUUCAUUCCCCAGGAUACACAAGUAGAGUAGAUGUGAGGAGAUAAAACUGAUACACCUGGUUUUAGUGAAUUACCAGGGCUUUGAUUAUCCAGGUCUACACACAUUUACUGAAAGAACAAGCCUUCACUUGCUGAACUCUGGGUUUCAUGAUUGAAUUUACAAUCCUCAGUUAUGCCCAAAGGUUCUUGAUAUGUAACUAAUGUACAAUAUAAAAUAUAAGUUCUGAUCAAAAUUCUGUGUUGUCAAAGUGACAUAUCCUCAACUUCUUGGCUGUGGUCCAAGACACGUGUAGCUGCCAUGACAUGUGGCAAAAUGUUAAAAAAAAAAAAAAAAUAUUGAAUUCAGGCAUUUUGAUGAAUGUAGGCAUUUUUUGAUUAAAAAUGUAUCACCGGUGCUGUGAAAAUUUUCUUCGAAUAAAUCUAUAAACAUU